CCCUUAGAUGUUCUGGGCCGCACGCGCGCUACACUGAUUCAUGCAACAAGUUUUGUCCUUGGCUGAUAGGCCUGGGUAAUCUUUGAACGUGAAUCGUGAUGGGGAUAGAUGAUUGCAAUUAUUCAUCUUCAACGAGGAAUUCCUAGUAAACACAAGUCAUCAGCUUGCAUUGAUUACGUCCCUGCCCUUUGUACACACCGCCCGUCGCACCUACCGAUUGAAUGGUCCGGUGAAAUCUUCGGAUCUGAGAGAUGUCUGAUUAAUUUCGGACGCCUUUUGGAAAAGUUGUUUAAACCUUACCAUUUAGAGGAAGGUGAAGUCGUAACA
rnacentral:rRNA from 1 species